UCCCUGGUGGCUCAGACGGUAAAGUGUCUGCCUACAAUGCGGGAGACCCGGGUUCAAUCCCUGGGCUGGGAG
rnacentral:tRNA from 1 species